AAAGUACUCCCUCCGUCCCAAAAUUCUUGUCUUAGAUUUGUCUAGAUACGGAUGUAUCAAGUCACAUUUUAGUAUUAGAUACAUCCGUAUCUAGACAAAUCUAAGACAAGAAAUUUGGACAGAGGGAGUAGUUA
rfam:Triticum aestivum genome assembly, contig: Triticum_aestivum_CS42_TGACv1_scaffold_502500_6BL